rnacentral:rRNA from 1 species
GAUGGCGGUAGGUGAGCGUCCCAACUGCAGCGAAGCCAGACCGUAAGGGCUGGUGGAGCGGUUGGAAGUGCUGAUGCCGAAAUGAGUAGCGAUAAAGGGGGUGAGAAACCCCCUCGCCGUAAACCCAAGGUUUCCUGGGGCAGGUUAAUCCUCCCAGGGUUAGCCGGAUCCUAAGCUGAGGCCGAAAGGCGUAGGUGAUGGGGAGCAGGUUAAUAUUCCUGCGCCAUCUUGUAGACGUUGAACCAAGAGAGGACGGAGAAGGUUAGGCGAGCCGGGUGUUGGAUGUCCCGGUCCAAAGCCGUAGGCGUGUCCCGUACGAUUAAAAGGCGGGGCUUUAACGUCGAGAGCUGAUGGCGAGCGCGUUAGCGCGAAGUCGUUGAUACCACGCUUCCAAGAAAAGUCUCGUGGGGAGUCUACAGGGUGUCCGUACCGCAAACCGACACAGGUGGGUGAGGAGAAAAUCCUAAGGCGAUUGAGAGAACUCUCUCCAAGGAACUCGGCAAAUUACCACCGUAACUUCGGAAGAAGGUGGGCCCUCCGUAGGUGUAGUCGUACAGACGAAGCCGAUGAGGGUUGCAGAGAAAUGGCGGUAGCUACUGUUUACCAAAAACACAGGACUCUGCGAAGACGACAAGUCGACGUAUAGGGUCUGACUCCUGCCCGGUGCUGGAAGGUUAAGGGGAUUCGUCAGCCGCAAGGCGAAGCGAUGAUCCGAAGCCCCAGUAAACGGCGGCCGUAACAAUAACGGUCCUAAGGUAGCGAAAUUCCUUGUCGGGUAAGUUCCGACCUGCACGAUGGAGUAACGACUUCCGCGCUGUCUCGGAGAGGGACUCAGCGAAAUUGAAAUAGCUGUGCCGAUGCAGUUUACCCGCAGCAAGACGGAAAGACCCCGUGAACCUUUACUACAACUUGACAGUGACACUAGGGAUUGACUGUGUAGGAUAGGUGGGAGCCUUUGAAACCGGGCCGCUAGGUUCGGUGGAGGCAACGGUGAAAUACCACCCUGUUGAUUUCUGGUGUCUAACCGUGUCCCAUAAUCUGGGAUCGGGACACUGUCUGGUGGGUAGUUUGACUGGGGCGGUCGCCUCCCAAAGCGUAACGGAGGCGCGCGAUGGUUCCCUCAGCCCGAUUGGAAACCGGGCGGCGAGUGCAAUGGCAUAAGGGAGCUUAACUGCGAGACAGACAUGUCGAGCAGGUGCGAAAGCAGGUCAUAGUGAUCCGGUGGUUCUGAAUGGAAGGGCUAUCGCUCAACGGAUAAAAGGUACUCCGGGGAUAACAGGCUUAUCUCCUCCAAGAGUUCACAUCGACGAGGAGGUUUGGCACCUCGAUGUCGGCUCAUCGCAUCCUGGGGCUGGAGCAGGUCCCAAGGGUUUGGCUGUUCGCCAAUUAAAGCGGUACGCGAGCUGGGUUCAAAACGUCGAGAGACAGUUUGGUCCCUAUCUGCUGUGGGCGUAGGAUACUUGAGCGGAUCUGUCCUUAGUACGAGAGGACCGGGAUGGAGACACCUCUGGUGUACCAGUUGUCACGCCAGUGGCAUCGCUGGGUAGCCAUGUGUCGAUUGGAUAACCGCUGAAAGCAUCUAAGCGGGAAACCGACCUCAAGAAUAGGUAUCCCGGGGGAAACCCCCUGAAGACCCGUCGAAGACUACGACGUUGAUAGGCCGGGUGUGUAAGCGUGGCAACACGUUGAGCUAACCGGUACUAAUUGGUCGUGCGGCUUACU